UUUCCAACCUCAAUUGGAAUUCCACUGCGCAUAUAAUGGUCUGUUCCAAUAAUGGCACCCCUUGGAUAACGGAAGCAGACUGGACGAUCAUCAAUGUGAACAGCAGUAGCCACCAUGUCCACAAGCUCAUCCUCAUCGGAUGGUGCCAUAACAAUCAUGUUUGGUAAGCAUGACAUGAAUGUUAUAUCAAAUGCCCCACACUGCAUAGGACCAUCAGACCCUACCAAUCCUGCACUUGUAAUGACAAAACGAACUGGAAUCCUCUGUCGAUCAACAUCAUGAACCACCUGGUCAUAUGCUCUCUGUAGAAAGGCAGAAGGAAUUAUGCAAAAUGGCUUCAACCCCCCACA
rnacentral:misc_RNA from 1 species